GAGGGUUCUCACCCCCCACUCCUUGAAGUCUGGCCAUUUGGGUGGGAGAGGCUGGAGCAGCCAGUGAGGACACUCAGCACAGUGUGGGCAACCGGACAGGAUGGAUUUGAAUUUAUAAAGAACCUGCCUUCCUUCCUUCAUGGUCCAAGCAAAUGUUCCAGGAUUAUAAAUAUCCAAGGGAAACAGAGACCAUCUGGAGUCAUCCCUACGUUGUGGAGGGGUCCCACAAGAGCCCAUUAGAGAGUUUGUCACUUCACGGCUGCCUGGCUGCCAUGGCUCCUUCCAUCACAUCCUCAGAAGACAGCAGCCCAAGCCAAAGGGACAAAAAAGACCUCUCCUUGGACCUAUUGCUUACCAGAAAGAAAAGGUCCCAAGGCCUCCACUGGUCUCACUGGCAAGGACUGAAUCACAUGUCCAUCAGGAUUCACACCCCUGAGCAGGGCUCCCCGUCCCUUGGACAGAAUUGGAGUUGGGGUAACAGGAAAGAAAAGGGUGUUGCACAGCGACAAGUGCCCACCACAGGUACCCACAGCUUCUUCCAUUGCACCUCGGAAGGCAACAAGGAGAAACCCCAUCAUUUUUGAGAGCUUUGGUGUCAUUACAUUUCAAUAACAAAGGUCAUUUCCCUUUUUUGCCAGCCUCCUCAUUGGGAACAAAAUGUGGCUGGGGGCUUUCUUUCUGAAAGUUUGCAAAUCCAUCUCCCACUUGCCAACCCAGCACCUGGGCAGGUGUAUUCACUCACAGGUGUCGGGCUGGCAGAUGGGUCAAACAGAAUAGGGGAAUGGGAUUAAGAAGUGUCACCCACCCCCAUCCCCUGAAUGGGAACAAAUCUAUGUCACCGAGUUUACCCUUGCUGUGAGGGCCUCAGACAAGGUGCCUGCACCUGGGUAUCAGAUGCAGUGAGAGGAGAAGGAAAGGACUUUCACCUUUUACUUUAUAUAUUCUGCUUUGUUUGUAAUGAGUGUGCACUCUCUCCAUGGUUUCUUAAUUGAAUACAAUUUUUCCAACA
rnacentral:lncRNA from 1 species